ensembl:lncRNA
GCCCCGUUCUGCUCAGGUGCUGGACGUUUACCCUGGUGUGAAGUUCAAGUUCAGGGGCUCACACUGGAUGGAGGACCCUUGAGGCCCCUCUGGACCUUCCAUCCUUGACACGCCCACCCGCAGCUCUGCCCCAGCCUCGGGAAUCCUUUCUCACCUCCAGAAGAAGCACCGCGGUCCUCAACUCCCUCCCGCCCCAAACUCCUUUUCUCUGCCCCAGAUCUUUUCAGUCCAAAGUUGUGAACAGGCGUGGGACAGGUGUGCCCAUGGAAUUAGCUGCAUUCUAAACUUUUGAUCAUCAACAUUUACAAAUUAAGAAAUCCCACAUGAAAAUCCGUACCUUUCUGCUUCCCUGGAAAGAAGAGAUGAGGUAUCCUUUAAUUCCCCCGAUGGCAACUGAAGCACGAGCUGCCCCCUUCGGCUAGACCGGCUGGCUGUGGUCCUUCCUGCAGUCCAGCUGGCCGCCAGCUUUCCUCGCUCAGCCACUGCCCCCGCCUGGUGCCAGGGCAACUGUUUGCUGCCCUGGGCUCCCUAAGGGCUCGGGGCUGCAGCUUUGGAGAUACAAGUCUGCCAGUCUCUUCUCUUCUGAGGCGAUGGUGGGGAAGGGGUUGCUGGGGGUGAGAGGGAAAGGCCGAGAGAGAAAGCUCCUCGAGGUGGGUCGUGAAGGCUGGAGAGCACUUGGGAAGUGGAAAGAAGAGGAGAGGACAUCCCAGGCCGGGAGAACCAACUGAGCAAAGGCCAGGAGGUAGAACGGGGCUGUCCCCACCGUGAGACGGUGCAGGCGCCUGUCUGAUUGAACCACAGGACCCCAGGUUACGGAGCACUGGGGGAAAGCUUGGCAGGGACACUGGGGACAGAGUACAGACAGUUACCUUGACCUACCCAAAUCCCAAGCUGUGGACGGCCAGAGACACAAAAUCAAUUACUUCUCUGAGAGUUUUGUGUUUCUGAAUGACAUAAGUAGAAGAAAGUGGGUUCACACCAAGCUAUCCUCCAGACCCAGGUCUAUGCCAAACCAAAAGGCAAUUCAACUCAACUGACAAUUUUGGCUAAUAUUUUGUUCAAGGCUCUGUGCUAGGCACAGGGAGGAGGGGAAUAAUGAAGGCCACAGUAGGGAAAACCGGGUGCAAGUUCUCUGACAUUCCUCACAUCAAACGGCGGAAAACAAUUCCCCUUCCUUUGCAUAUGGGUGACCCUUAGCAACUCAAUUCUCAUCAGGAAAAUACAGCAGAACGACACUGUGUGACUCCUGAGGCUAUGUCAUAAAAGGCAAUCGAACUUCCUCCUCUCUAGCGCUCUCUCCCCACCCCCACUCCCCGCCGCCCUCCUCUGAGGGGCCCAGGCCACAGAGAGGGAGGCCAUGUGUGGGUGCUCCAGCCAAUGGGCCCACAUGAGGUCCUAGCCAACAGCCAGGACCAACCACCAGCCGUGGGAGUGAGCGAGCUUUCAGAUGAUUCCUGCCCCAGCCUCUGGCUGUCCCAGCUGUCACCAUAAAGAGGAGUAAAAUAAAGGUGUCUUCCGGCGUUUUGUCUGCAGUAAACGUUUUCCUGCCAAGAGCUUUUUCUGAAAGCAGAAUUGUCUCCUCAGGACAGAUUCCUGGGAGAGAAACGACGGGGUCAGAAGUUGUGGGCAUCUUUAUGGCUCUGGAUAUCCAUCCCUCAUCAAAGAUCAUGGUGACUUUUUUUAUUUUGAAUUGUGAUUCUUGUAGUUGAUGCUGUUAUUGUUACGAAAGGAUUAGAUGAUCGAUGUAGAAAACCUGGAAAAGUCGAAAGAUGCAAAUAAAAAUCUCCCGUAUUUCACCCACCUAAAUGGAAUCCUUAUCAGUAACGUGUUGGUGUAUCUUUUUCCUGUAUUUAUUUUUCUUUAAUGUAAGUUUUAGGGUUUUUUGUUUGUUUCAGUGCAUGCAUGAAUUAACAUAAUUGUGAUGAUACUCUGAAUAAAUUGGAGAUCACAGUUUUC